rnacentral:rRNA from 1 species
UACGUAGGGGGCGAGCGUUAUCCGGAUUCAUUGGGCGUAAAGCGCGCGUAGGCGGCCGCCUAAGCGGGACCUCUAACCCCGGGGCUCAACCCCGGGCCGGGUCCCGGACUGGGCGGCUCGAGUGCGGUAGAGGAGAGCGGAAUUCCCGGUGUAGCGGUGGAAUGCGCAGAUAUCGGGAAGAACACCGAUGGCGAAGGCAGCUCUCUGGGCCGUCACUGACGCUGAGGCGCGAAAGCGUGGGUAGCAAACAGG